rnacentral:rRNA from 1 species
UAGGGAAUCUUCGGCAAUGGACGGAAGUCUGACCGAGCAACGCCGCGUGAGUGAAGAAGGAUUUCGGUUCGUAAAGCUCUGUUGUUAGGGAAGAAUGAUUGUGUAGUAACUAUACACAGUAGAGACGGUACCUAACCAGAAAGCCACGGCUAACUACGUGCCAGCAGCCGCGGUAAUACGUAGGUGGCAAGCGUUGUCCGGAAUUAUUGGGCGUAAAGCGCGCGCAGGUGGUUUAAUAAGUCUGAUGUGAAAGCCCACGGCUCAACCGUGGAGGGUCAUUGGAAACUGUUAAACUUGAGUGCAGGAGAGAAAAGUGGAAUUCCUAGUGUAGCGGUGAAAUGCGUAGAGAUUAGGAGGAACACCAGUGGCGAAGGCGGCUUUUUGGCCUGUAACUGACACUGAGGCGCGAAAGCGUGGGGAGCAAACAGGAUUAGAUACCCUGGUAGUCCACGCCGUAAACGAUGAGUGCUAAGUGUUGGUCUCAUAAGAGAUCAGUGCUGCAGCUAACGCAUUAAGCACUCCGCCUGGGGGGUACGACCGCAAGGUUG